rnacentral:rRNA from 1 species
CGGCGUGCCUAACACAUGCAAGUCGAGCGAGGAGAUCCUUCGGGAUGAUCCUAGCGGCGGACGGGUGAGUAACACGUGGGCAACCUGCCUCAUAGAGAGGAAUAGCCUUCCGAAAGGGAGAUUAAUACCUCAUAACAUUGCAGUUUCGCAUGGAACAGCAAUUAAAGGAGCAAUCCGCUAUGAGAUGGGCCCGCGGCGCAUUAGCUAGUUGGUGAGGUAACGGCUCACCAAGGCGACGAUGCGUAGCCGACCUGAGAGGGUGAUCGGCCACAUUGGGACUGAGACACGGCCCAGACUCCUACGGGAGGCAGCAGUGGGGAAUAUUGCACAAUGGGGGAAACCCUGAUGCCAGCAACGCCGCGUGAGUGAUGACGGCCUUCGGGUUGUAAAGCUCUGUCUUCAGGGACGAUAAUGACGGUACCUGAGGAGGAAGCCACGGCUAACUACGUGCCAGCCGCGGC